rnacentral:rRNA from 1 species
GACGAACGCUGGCGGCGUGCUUAACACAUGCAAGUCGAACGGAAAGGCCCCCUUGUGGGGUACUCGAGUGGCGAACGGGUGAGUAACACGUGAGUAACCUACCCUUGACUUUGGGAUAACUUCAGGAAACUGGGGCUAAUACCGGAUAGGAGCUCCUGCUGCAUGGUGGGGGUUGGAAAGUUUCGGCGGUUGGGGAUGGACUCGCGGCUUAUCAGCUUGUUGGUGGGGUAGUGGCUCACCAAGGCUUUGACGGGUAGCCGGCCUGAGAGGGUGACCGGCCACAUUGGGACUGAGAUACGGCCCAGACUCCUACGGGAGGCAGCAGUGGGGAAUAUUGCGCAAUGGGCGGAAGCCUGAUGCAGCAACGCCGCGUGCGGGAUGACGGCCUUCGGGUUGUAAACCGCUUUCGCCUGUGACGAAGCGUGAGUGACGGUAAUGGGUAAAGAAGCACCGGCUAACUACGUG